GACAAGGUUUCCGUAGGUGAACCUGCGGAAGGAUCAUU
rnacentral:rRNA from 1 species